rnacentral:rRNA from 1 species
GUGCCAGCCGCCGCGGUAAUACCGGCAGCCCGAGUGAUGGCCGAUAUUAUUGGGCCUAAAGCGUCCGUAGCUGGCCGAACAAGUCCGUCGGGAAAUCCACGUGCUUAACACGUGGGCGUCCGACGGAAACUGCACAGCUUGGGACCGGAAGGCUCGAAGGGUACGUUCGGGGUAGGAGUGAAAUCCCAUAAUCCCGCACGGACCACCGAUGGCGAAAGCACUUCGAGAAAACGGAUCCGACAGUGAGGGACGAAAGCCAGGGUCUCCAACCGGAUUAGAUACCCGAGUAGUCC